CAGCAGCCGCGGUAAUACGUAGGCGGCAAGCGUUGUCCGGAAUUAUUGGGCGUAAAGGGCUCGCAGGCGGUUUCUUAAGUCUGAUGUGAAAGCCCCCGGCUCAACCGGGGAGGGUCAUUGGAAACUGGGAAACUUGAGUGCAGAAGAGGAGAGUGGAAUUCCACGUGUAGCGGUGAAAUGCGUAGAGAUGUGGAGGAACACCAGUGGCGAAGGCGACUCUCUGGUCUGUAACUGACGCUGAGGAGCGAAAGCGUGGGGAGCGAACAGGAUUAGAUACCCCAGUAGUCCCUGUCUCUUAUAC
rnacentral:rRNA from 1 species